UAAAAAAGUCGGGAAGUGGGAAGUCACGGGAGGAGCUGGCUUUGGAGAAGAAGAAGGAGCUGGAGAGAAGACUGCAAGAUGUCAGCGGGCAGCUCAACUCCUCCAAGAAGCCCCAGAAGACCAAGGCAGAGAAGCCCAGCGCAGUGGAGCCCCACGCCAUGGUGUCACGUCUCAGUGCCAGCAGUUCAAGCUCGGACUCUUCAUCAUAGUCAUCCUCCUCAUCCUCAUCUGACACGAGUGACUCUGACUCUGGCUGAAUUGUGGAAAUGAGCGGGGCUGUGGCAGUAGAGGCUGGGCCUUGCAGGGUUUGGUCGUCCAGAAGCUCAUUGGCCCAGACUGUGAUGGGAGCCAGUGGCUGGUGGCCCAGGGUGGAGGGGGAGGGAACAGCACUCCUUCCCGACGGCAGUGACCUAAACCGAAAGAGGGGCGACUGAGACUGACUAUUAGAGUGCAGGAAUUCGCAGGACCAAGGAGGCUGUAACAAAGUCUGGCUGAAGAAAUUCGCAUUCCAUUUUUUUCCCAUGCUGUGUAAAUAUAUGUACAAAUAUGUGUAUAUAUUACAAUCUUUCUUUUAUAAAGAAGAAUUUUAAGAAAAUCCCCAAGGAGGGAGAGUAAUGAAUGAAAGGAUGUUGAUGGACUGUUUCUUUGCAAGAUUUUUGUACGUAAAGUUUGGAUUUUUGUUUAUUUUGUUUUCCCCUCCCCUGCAGAUGGAGGUUAGUCCUUAGAUAGACCGAUAUCUCUAUGGUGUCAGACACACAGAUGCAGCCUCACCUGAUCAGCUUCCCACUGCCUUGGGCUCUGGCUGGAGAAGAAGUGCAAGUCGGAAAGUUAAAUCCCUUGUUUCUCCUUAUCAGCAUGAUCUUAGGGGUUUAAACCGCUAUAGGGAUUUUGUCUACAGCAUGUGUUUGGUACUGUACUGUGUCCAAGUCUCACUGAGAAGCUAGUAAAAUGCAAACGGGUCCAACUGAACGGUAACGGAACCUGGUGCUUUCAUCUUCCCGCCUGUCUGUCUGACAUUAGCAGAGACCUGCUGUUCCUCUGUUGUUGCAGUGCUGAGGCUCAGACUGGGGGGGGGGUGUCAAUGAGACCAGGACUCCUGCUGGAAGCCAGUGGAACGCAGAACCUGAUUACAUCAAACACACUGUACACAUUUCUGCAGCUGUAUCUGUUCUCAGCAUGGUUCUACACGCAAGAUUUCUCCCCUUUUUCAUUUACCCUCACAGCACCGUGUGAGAACUUCAUUCUUUUUUUAUAGAAUGACAGUUUGAGGCGACAUCACAUGUAACACUGUCAGACAUCUGGUUCGACAUGAUCAGUCUCAAACAUACCUUUCUUUUGAAAGUGUGUACAUAUUAAAAAGAAUUAAUCAGA